rnacentral:rRNA from 1 species
CCUACGGGAGGCAGCAGUGGGGAAUAUUGCACAAUGGGGGAAACCCUGAUGCAGCGACGCCGCGUGAGCGAUGAAGGAUUGCGGUAUGUAAAGCUCUAUCAGCAGGGAAGAAGAUGACGGUACCUGACGAAGAAGCCCCGGCUAACUACGUGCCAGCAGCCGCGGUAAUACGGAGGGGGCAAGCGUGAUCCGGAUUGACUGGGUGUAAAGGGAGCGGAGGCGGCGAUGCAAGCCAGAUGUGAAAGCCCGGGCUCCACCCCGGGACUGCCUUUGGAACUGUGUGGCUGGAGUGUCGGAGGGGCAGUCGGAAUUCCUAUUGUAGCGGUGAACUGCGUAGAUCUUAGGCG